rnacentral:rRNA from 1 species
GGGUUGUGAGGUUAAGCGACUAAGCGUACACGGUGGAUGCCCUGGCAGUCAGAGGCGAUGAAGGACGUGCUAAUCUGCGAUAAGCGUCGGUAAGGUGAUAUGAACCGUUAUAACCGGCGAUUUCCGAAUGGGGAAACCCAGUGUGUUUCGACACACUAUCAUUAACUGAAUCCAUAGGUUAAUGAGGCGAACCGGGGGAACUGAAACAUCUAAGUACCCCGAGGAAAAGAAAUCAACCGAGAUUCCCCCAGUAGCGGCGAGCGAACGGGGAGCAGCCCAGAGCCUGAAUCAGUGUGUGUGUUAGUGGAAGCGUCUGGAAAGGCGCGCGAUACAGGGUGACAGCCCCGUACACAAAAAUGCACAUACUGUGAGCUCGAUGAGUAGGGCGGGACACGUGGUAUCCUGUCUGAAUAUGGGGGGACCAUCCUCCAAGGCUAAAUACUCCUGACUGACCGAUAGUGAACCAGUACCGUGAGGGAAAGGCGAAAAGAACCCCGGCGAGGGGAGUGAAAAAGAACCUGAAACCGUGUACGUACAAGCAGUGGGAGCACGCUUAGGCGUGUGACUGCGUACCUUUUGUAUAAUGGGUCAGCGACUUAUAUUCUGUAGCAAGGUUAACCGAAUAGGGGAGCCGAAGGGAAACCGAGUCUUAACUGGGCGUUAAGUUGCAGGGUAUAGACCCGAAACCCGGUGAUCUAGCCAUGGGCAGGUUGAAGGUUGGGUAACACUAACUGGAGGACCGAACCGACUAAUGUUGAAAAAUUAGCGGAUGACUUGUGGCUGGGGGUGAAAGGCCAAUCAAACCGGGAGAUAGCUGGUUCUCCCCGAAAGCUAUUUAGGUAGCGCCUCGUGAAUUCAUCUCCGGGGGUAGAGCACUGUUUCGGCAAGGGGGUCAUCCCGACUUACCAACCCGAUGCAAACUGCGAAUACCGGAGAAUGUUAUCACGGGAGACACACGGCGGGUGCUAACGUCCGUCGUGAAGAGGGAAACAACCCAGACCGCCAGCUAAGGUCCCAAAGUCAUGGUUAAGUGGGAAACGAUGUGGGAAGGCCCAGACAGCCAGGAUGUUGGCUUAGAAGCAGCCAUCAUUUAAAGAAAGCGUAAUAGCUCACUGGUCGAGUCGGCCUGCGCGGAAGAUGUAACGGGGCUAAACCAUGCACCGAAGCUGCGGCAGCGACGCUGAUGCGUUGUUGGGUAGGGGAGCGUUCUGUAAGCCUGUGAAGGUGUGCUGUGAGGCAUGCUGGAGGUAUCAGAAGUGCGAAUGCUGACAUAAGUAACGAUAAAGCGGGUGAAAAGCCCGCUCGCCGGAAGACCAAGGGUUCCUGUCCAACGUUAAUCGGGGCAGGGUGAGUCGACCCCUAAGGCGAGGCCGAAAGGCGUAGUCGAUGGGAAACAGGUUAAUAUUCCUGUACUUGGUGUUACUGCGAAGGGGGGACGGAGAAGGCUAUGUUGGCCGGGCGACGGUUGUCCCGGUUUAAGCGUGUAGGCUGGUUUUCCAGGCAAAUCCGGAAAACUAAGGCUGAGGCGUGAUGACGAGGCACUACGGUGCUGAAGCAACAAAUGCCCUGCUUCCAGGAAAAGCCUCUAAGCAUCAGGUAACAUCAAAUCGUACCCCAAACCGACACAGGUGGUCAGGUAGAGAAUACCAAGGCGCUUGAGAGAACUCGGGUGAAGGAACUAGGCAAAAUGGUGCCGUAACUUCGGGAGAAGGCACGCUGAUAUGUAGGUGAAGCGACUUGCUCGUGGAGCUGAAAUCAGUCGAAGAUACCAGCUGGCUGCAACUGUUUAUUAAAAACACAGCACUGUGCAAACACGAAAGUGGACGUAUACGGUGUGACGCCUGCCCGGUGCCGGAAGGUUAAUUGAUGGGGUCAGCGCAAGCGAAGCUCUUGAUCGAAGCCCCGGUAAACGGCGGCCGUAACUAUAACGGUCCUAAGGUAGCGAAAUUCCUUGUCGGGUAAGUUCCGACCUGCACGAAUGGCGUAAUGAUGGCCAGGCUGUCUCCACCCGAGACUCAGUGAAAUUGAACUCGCUGUGAAGAUGCAGUGUACCCGCGGCAAGACGGAAAGACCCCGUGAACCUUUACUAUAGCUUGACACUGAACAUUGAGCCUUGAUGUGUAGGAUAGGUGGGAGGCUUUGAAGUGUGGACGCCAGUCUGCAUGGAGCCGACCUUGAAAUACCACCCUUUAAUGUUUGAUGUUCUAACGUUGACCCGUGAUCCGGGUUGCGGACAGUGUCUGGUGGGUAGUUUGACUGGGGCGGUCUCCUCCUAAAGAGUAACGGAGGAGCACGAAGGUUGGCUAAUCCUGGUCGGACAUCAGGAGGUUAGUGCAAUGGCAUAAGCCAGCUUGACUGCGAGCGUGACGGCGCGAGCAGGUGCGAAAGCAGGUCAUAGUGAUCCGGUGGUUCUGAAUGGAAGGGCCAUCGCUCAACGGAUAAAAGGUACUCCGGGGAUAACAGGCUGAUACCGCCCAAGAGUUCAUAUCGACGGCGGUGUUUGGCACCUCGAUGUCGGCUCAUCACAUCCUGGGGCUGAAGUAGGUCCCAAGGGUAUGGCUGUUCGCCAUUUAAAGUGGUACGCGAGCUGGGUUUAGAACGUCGUGAGACAGUUCGGUCCCUAUCUGCCGUGGGCGCUGGAGAACUGAGGGGGGCUGCUCCUAGUACGAGAGGACCGGAGUGGACGCAUCACUGGUGUUCGGGUUGUCAUGCCAAUGGCACUGCCCGGUAGCUAAAUGCGGAAGAGAUAAGUGCUGAAAGCAUCUAAGCACGAAACUUGCCCCGAGAUGAGUUCUCCCUGACUCCUUGAGAGUCCUGAAGGAACGUUGAAGACGACGACGUUGAUAGGCCGGGUGUGUAAGCGCAGCGAUGCGUUGAGCUAACCGGUACUAAUGAACCGUGAGGCUUAACCUUACAACGCCGAAG